rnacentral:rRNA from 1 species
UACGAAGGGGGCUAGCGUUGCUCGGAAUCACUGGGCGUAAAGGCGCGUAGGCGGCCAUUCAAGUCGGAGGUGAAAGCCCAGGGCUCAACCCUGGAAUUGCCUUCGAUACUGUCUGGCUAGAGACCGGAAGAGGUAAGUGGAACUGCGAGUGUAGAGGUGAAAUUCGUAGAUAUUCGCAAGAACACCAGUGGCAAAGGCGGCUUACUGGUCCGGUUCUGACGCUGAGGCACGAAAGCGUGGGGAGCAAACAGG